rnacentral:rRNA from 1 species
UACGUAGGGUGCAGGCGUUAAUCGGAAUUACUGGGCGUAAAGCGUGCGCAGGCGGUUUUGUAAGUCAGCUGUGAAAUCCCCGGGCUCAACCUGGGAAUGGCAGUUGAGACUGCAAGGCUAGAGUGUGUCAGAGGGGGGUAGAAUUCCACGUGUAGCAGUGAAAUGCGUAGAGAUGUGGAGGAAUACCGAUGGCGAAGGCAGCCCCCUGGGAUAACACUGACGCUCAUGCACGAAAGCGUGGGGAGCAAACAGG